rnacentral:lncRNA from 1 species
GAAAUUGGAAAUGUUAACGCGCAAUUUCAUUGUACAAAUGGAAAAUUGUAACCGAAUGAUUGCAUCAAUUUUUGUUAGUUUUUUUUUUUUUUCAGAUAAGGCUGAGCUUAAAUAUUGGUGGGAAAAAAGAAAAAAAAAUUGGUAGAUAUAUACAUCUUUUUUUUCUUUUUUUUUUGGUUAAGAUAUAUACAUCAUUGAAUAUUCAAAUAGAUACAAUCAUAUUUAUGCUCACAUCACUUGUGCCAAUAGAACCAUAUUUGGAAUUGGAGUGAAAUAUAUUGUUCUUGCUCUUAUGGGACAGUGCAAAUUAAUUAGUCUUGUAAAAGUUUAACAAGAAAGCAGACUAAUCAUUUGUUUUGGUUGGUUGAUGAUACUCGUUUAUAUAUAUUGACAACCGCAUUAUUUGAUUAGGUGAGCUGAUAUGUUUUUUUUUUAUCAGUUUUUAUUCGUAUUUUAUAUUCGUGAAAGAAGUAGACUUUGGAUCAUUUUGGAUGUUUACGGACGCGUGGAUGUGAAAUUCACAUUGUGAAUACAGAAGCAGACCGAUUGGUCCUUAGACCGAUUAAUAUCCAAAGACUACUAGAAAGAUAUGAACCAAAGAUUAGUCCCUAGCAGAUUACUAGAAACGACCAAAGACGACUAGACAUGCAUGGAAUGGUAGGUUCUUUU